rnacentral:lncRNA from 1 species
AAAUUUUCAUUACUUUUUCUUAAAGUUUUAAAAUCAUUCUUACCUGAUUACAAAAUCCUACGCCAAAUCCUAGAAGUAGUCGACCAAUGAUUAACAUUCCUAUGUUAACAGCUAAUCCAUUUAGUAAUGCACCAAUUAAGAAAAAUAAGCCACCAAGAAACAUGGAAGUCUUGCGUCCCCACAUUCUUGUGAUUGUGGCAGCAAAAAAAGAAGCUACCAAUGCAGCAAGGUAUAGGGAAGAUGUGAAUAGUGUUAGAAGUUGAUCAUCAAAUUUGCAAUAUUGACNNNNNNNNNNNNNNNNNNNNNNNNNNNNNNNNNNNNNNNNNNNNNNNNNNNNNNNNNNNNNNNNNNNNNNNNNNNNNNNNNNNNNNNNNNNNNNNNNNNNNNNNNNNNNNNNNNNNNNNNNNNNNNNNNNNNNNNNNNNNGCAAUAUUGACUUGUUUCAUGUGUUUCAUCUUUCAUUCUUUUAUACACCGACGGAAAGAAUCUGAUCAAGAAUUCAUCCAUCGAAGUCACUCCUCCGGUAAUACCAAGAUCGUAACCGAAAAGAAGACCUCCCAUUGCAGCUACAAAACAUGUAAUCAACACAAAUGCAGUUACUUUUCCCUCAUAUUGCUUUAUUCCCCUAGUAUCAUCAACAAAGCUUCCACCUGCCAUAUUGAUUAAUUUUUUUUUCUUCAAUAAAUUACUACAAAUUAAGAAAUAAACACUACUACAACUUUGUUAAUUUCUGUUUCUCGUUUUUUCCUUUUUUGUCACUUAAUAAUGUAGUGAUGUAGUUUUCAACUUUAUAGGCAGAAGCAAAUGGAUGUUGAACGGUAAAGAAAAAGGUCAUAACAAAUAACUAAAAAUAGUUUAUGAUUGUCACUUAUCCACUAACUAGCUAUUUCUUUGUUAAUUUGAGCGAUGUGCAUUAAUGAAUGCAAUUUGGAUUUGCUACAAAUUAUUUUGUUCAUUCUUUCUCCUAAUUCUUCUCCUAUAACAUCAAUUGGUCAUUAAUUAUACGUAUUAGAUUAGAUUUUUGGUUCACUCUUUUAUAAUAUUUUUAUUAAAUAAAUUCAAUUUCUAUUAGAGUUUUUUUUUUGUUUAUUAGGAAUAAAUCGAGAGAAUUUGUUGUACCAAAAAAAAAUCAAGAGAAUUUGAAAAAUAGAGUAUAAUUAAUUGAUGUAUAUUAUUAGUCAAAAAAAAAAAUUGAUGUAUAUUAAGGUUCCUUGAAAUCCAAAGUUUGCUUUAUGAUAGUGAUAUAUUUAGAAAAACUAAAAAUAUAUUUAACCCAAAGUUUUAUGUCCCAUAAUCUUAUAAAAUUAUUGAUAUUUCAAUAUUUGAAACUCAACUACACUUUCUAAUAGGGAGUAGGAUUUGCUACAGUUAUAUUUUCACACAAUUAUACAGUACGCUGUUUUUAUUCUCGUAUGUUAAAUUUCAAUCAAACGGCUUAGAAUAUUAGAAACUGUGUUUUUCUAGUUAAAUUGAUCACGACCAUUAAAAUCAAAUUGGACGGUUCAAAUUCAAAACAGCGUGUUACUGCGUGCUGCGUAGCAAAUCCAAUUCGUUCUAAUUGACAUAAUAGUGAAUGCAUGCUCAUGUACGAGGAAAGAUGAACUAGUAAAUAAAGAACAUUGUCAUUGGAGAAAGAUGCUACAGGGAUUUUCUUUUGCCACCUUACCGGUUACUCGCGCGUUUUACGUAUUUCCCGUUUUGCCUUUUCUCUAUUUAAGUGGCGGAUGUUAUAAAGAUGAUAAUUUUUAGAAAAAUGUCGUCCGCUACUUAAGUAGCGGAUAUUAUAAAGGUUGGUUGUUUUUGGGGUGUCCACUAGACCACUACUUAAGUAACGGACGAAUGUGUUUUGGUAAAUUCGUAGGACACGCGAUAAAAUGGGCAGUGUGGUAAAAGUAAAUCUCGCAAAAUACAAAUAUUCUACUUUGUACAAGAUCUUGGUUUUAACUUUCAAUCCGUCGUUUCAAAAUGUAGAGAUCGAUUUGCUAGUUUGAACUUUCCACUUUCCACUAGGUUUGGUCUAGUAGUGAGGGGUUUGGGUAGUACGUUAUAGGUCCUGAGUUCGAUCCCCAGCUCAUAGUUUUAGGAGGCUCUGUGCAAAAUAUAAAAGUGGCCCUUUAAUAAAAAAAUAUAAUUUUUCUUAAAAAAAAAUUUGAUUUAAAUUGCAUAUAAUAUAAAAAAAAUCAUUUUUGUAAACAUAUAAAUUAUCAAUAUUAAAUCAAUUGCAUUGAAUUAAAUGGAACAAGAAAUACAAAAUAAUUAUCUUUGUAUAUAACGUCAAAAAGGAACAUCCUAAUCUAAGAUUAAAUUUUAUGCAAAGAUUAAAAUGGAGUAGAACUAUAUUUAGGAGUAUAGAUAACUAAUCUAUUGAUACUCAUAUGAUAUUUUAUGAACAUUAACAAUAUAUAACUAUUAUUUUAGGGCCUCAAAAUUAAUCUAUUAAUAUACAUCUGAUAUUUUAAUUGAUGUGUGUAAAAAUUUAGAAGAUUCCUUAUUUCUUGGUUUCAUAAAAAUUUGAUUUGUUAUUUAAAAAAAAAUUUGAUUUGUUGUUCUACCUAUUUUUUUUUGGUUUCAUAAAAAUUUGAUUGGUUGUUCUACCAAAAAAAUAUUUGAUUUGUUGUUAUUCAAUCUUCCCCAACAUGAGAAACACUUAGAUAGGCACAAGCCUAAAUGAAAAUAUUUGGGCACACACUCAUAGAUGAAAUGAAUUUAAAAGAAAAAUAAAUUAGACACAUCACUCAAUUAGUUUAUCUUUAAAUUUUUUUAGUUAUGUGAGUGUGCCUAAAUAUUCAUCAUUUUAGGCUUCUACCUAUCUAAGUAUUCCUCCUUCCCCAACAUGUAACCAAAAAAAAAAUCUUCCCCAACAUUAAUAGUCUUCUUGCGUUUUCAUUCCCCUUUGAUUUGUUCAACAUCCUUUCCUUCAAUUUUUUUAUUUUAUUUUGUCUAUAUUCCCAUUGUAUGGAUCGUAGAACAAUUUAUGCAAAAUUUAUAAAACCAAUCCCAACUGAAGAGAAAUCAGUGAAUAUAGGAUUCUAUGGGAAUAUUUUUGGAUGGGAUUGAAUUUAUAUGUGGAAUUUUUAUGUGACAAUUGAGGUUAUGAAUUGCCAGAUUUGUUAUUAAAUCAUAAUUCUACCUUGAUAUUUCAAUUCCCAAAUUUGAACCCUAAAAAAAUAUUAAAACAGGUUUGUGAUUGGUGAACGUAUUGUUAGAGAAUCAAUGGUAGAGACUGAAAAGGAAAAAACAAAUUGGGCAGCAAGCAAUGAUAACAAUUACUUAAACGAGAGAGAUGACGAGAAACAACGAUACUUGAAAGGAGAUUAUAAAAAAAAUGGAACUUGAAAGGAGAUGUUAAAAGAUUAAUAUUUUUUUUUGGUGAAUAUGUUAAAAGAAUAAUUAAUUGGUUAAGAUUUGGAAAAGUAAUGAUCACAUGGAUUUUAAAUAAAUAAAUAUGAAUAUUUAGAUCAAUAAAAAUAAAUGGACAAGAUUUGGUGUCAAAUUAAAAUUUGACACCUGGUGUCAACGGAUCCUAACUCUAUAAUAAUAUAUAAGUAAUAUUAUAGGUCCUCAAAAUUUUGAGUCGAGGCCCGAUACCGUCGCAUACCCCACACAUGUGUGUAAGACGCCUCUGAUCAUGAUCACCAACCAUUAGAGUUUGUUUUGAAUGUGUUGUGUUUAAUUUGUUGAGUUUAGUCAUUAUUAUCUCUUAUCUCAAAUGGUUCGUGAACGGGUCAUUAUAUUUUCAAUGAUUUGCCAUGAAAAAAAUCAUCUCGCGAUAUGCUUAAAUGAGAUGAUGCGAGUCUUUUUUAAUUUAAUCGAGGUUUUUGGUUCGUUCGUUGGCUUAGGUAUGCAGUAGCGUUAAAGCGUUUAGGAAAAGUUUGUCGCUCAUUUGAUUACGAAAAAAAAUAAUAAAUUGAGUGAUUGAGUGAAAAUCGGCUAUUAAUGAAAAGAUCAUGGGACAAAAAGUAAAAACAUUUAUCCCAAGAACUUUUGUUAAAAUAAAAUGAAGGAUGAGAUUUAGUUUUAACUAAAUUUUAACUAAAUGCACAUGUUAGAAAAACCCUUUAAUAAAAUUUUGUUUUGUCUUCACUGCCGGAACUACUAGAAAUUUGUUAUUUCCCCGGAAAAAAAAUCUGCAUGUAUUGCUAAGGAUUUUAUUGCGGAUUUUGUAAUAAGGAGUCAUUUCCCGUAGAUUUGAGGUUUUUAGAAAAAUUCGUGGGUAUUUCCAAGGAUUUUCUUGCGGAUUUUUGCACCCAGACCACUGAACUAUUUAAUCUGGUUCGAAGGUCAAGUAUCAAGUGGCAGUUCCAGCUUCUUCCCAGUCGCAGUUGUGGAGGAUCGAACCGUAGUCCUUCCUACCAAGUUCAGCAUCAAUCAUCACUGAACUAACCAACUAUUGAUAAAUUAACAGGAUAUAAUAAAUUUAACUUUGGACUUAGAUGUUGCUCGUCUCAAGGUCUCAAGUUCGAUUCCCCCUGAUGCCAAUUUCAGUGAGCUAAAUCCAUACAGGGCAAAAAAACUCUGGUUUAAAUGAGGCUCCUGCAAGUGGGCGGUGAGAUUGGUCCUCUUGAAUUAGUCGGUCCUAAGACCGGAUACCAAGCUUUCAAAAAAAACUUUGGACUUAGAUGUAGGGUCAAGUAUAAGAUGGAGUUUUCAGAUGGUUUCAAUUCAGAAUUACUUUUGAAGUAAAUAGUAAUAUUAAGAUUAAGAAGGAAAGAUGAUAUAGUUUUAUUUUGUGAAUAUUUAGUAUUAUAUGGAUAAUAUAUAUUUUUACUAACUCACAAAAUGUAAAAAUAUCGAAGUUAAAGUGCAAGUGUUUUGAAAAUUUAAAUAACAUGAAGAGUAGUAAUUUUCAACUUCAAAAUUGAUUAUUCAUUUAAUAUGGUAAAACAUAUUAUUGAACAUAGUGGAAUACAUCAGGACAUUGAGGAGACAACUUUACAAGUUCAACUUGUUUCUCCUUAUUUCAAAGAUUGGGAUUUGGGAAAUUUUUUUUUUGACAACAAGGGUUUGGGACAUAACUAUUUUUUCCUCUAAAAGUUUAGAAGAAAUAAUGUUUGAAUAGUAUCAAGUACAUCAAAAUUUCAUACUUAUUGCACAAUGUUGCAAUUUAUUUAUCCACCCAUUAACUUUCCUCAAUCUUUCCUUGUAGUCAUUGUUUCUGUUUUUCCUAUUUAUCAUAGUCAAUUCCUUAUCAAAUUCAUGGAACAGCCUUUUUACUGUCAUAAGCCUCACUAACAACAUGAUCUGGAACAUAUUUGGCCCAAAACCAAUGUGACUUCCACACUCUGUUCAUUUCUUCAAUUGGAACGUUCUUGGUUUCAGGUAAGAGACAGGCAAUGAAAAUGGUCAUGAUGGCCACAAAACCCGCGAAGAAAAAGAAGAGGCCGAACUUCAAGUGACAAAGCAUGGUUAGGAAAACUUGAGCAAUCAUAAAUGUGAAGAGCAUGUUCACCAUAACAUUUAUAGCUUGGCCUGCUGGUCGAACCUCAAGAGCGCAUAUUUCACUAGGCACCAACCAACCCAAUGGUCCCCAAGACCAUGCAAAUGCCGCAACAUAUGCACAAAUAAAGAACAAGAGGAGGUCCGCUUCACCUUUGGUAAAGGAUCCUUGGCCAGUCACUCCAAACUUGGACGCGAUCAUGAUUCCGAUAAUAACCUACAACGAUAGAUUAAUUAUUAAUUUGAGUCCUAAUGUAUUGAAAUUCAAAAGUAAUAGACGUGUCAAUUUUCACCUGACAAAUAAACAUUUGUGAGCCACCCUCAAGAAAUAAUAACCUUCUUCCAAACUUGUCUACUGUGAAGACAGAAACAAGUGUGGCAACAACAUUGACAACACCACUAAUAACCGCAGACAUGAGGGAAGCAUCAUCACCAAAACCUAAGAUCUUGAAAAGUACAGGAGCGUAGAACAUGAUAACGUUAAUGCCAGUAAGUUGUUGGAAGAAUGGAAUGAAAGCGACGAAGGUGAGUUGAGGCCUAUAUUCUGGUUGAGUAAUGUUCUUCCAUGGAUGCUCUACUUUACUAGCUUCCUCACUAGCAUCAACCAUAUCUUGGUAUUCAUCAUCAAUGUUUUCUGUGCCGCGAAUCCUCUUCAACAUUGUCUUUGCUCUUUCAUGGUCGCCUCGUUCAAUCAAGGAAUUGGGUGUUUCUUCUAAACAAAGAGAUCCUAUGCACAAAAGAAGUGCUGGCACAGCUCCAACACCCAAAGAGACUCUCCAUCCAUUUUUAUGCUUGGCAGUGGCAUAAUUGAUAAGAUUUGCCAUUAGAAUACCAAUUGUAAUCAUCAUUUGAAAACCAAUGUUGAGUGCUCCUCUAAUUUUUGCCGGAGCCAUUUCAGACAAAUACAACGGNNNNNNNNNNNNNNNNNNNNNNNNNNNNNNNNNNNNNNNNNNNNNNNNNNNNNNNNNNNNNNNNNNNNNNNNNNNNNNNNNNNNNNNNNNNNNNNNNNNNNNNNNNNNNNNNNNNNNNNNNNNNNNNNNNNNNNNNNNNNNNNNNNNNNNNNNNNNNNNNNNNNNNNNNNNNNNNUGCCAUUAGAAUACCAAUUGUAAUCAUCAUUUGAAAACCAAUGUUGAGGGCUCCUCUAAUUUUUGCCGGAGCCAUUUCAGACAAAUACAACGGUACCGACUAUAUAGACAAAACAUAAUAAUGACUAACGUUAAUCAAGUAUAACAAUAUUACACAAUCUACACUAUACUAAUAAGUUAGUAUAGCAUUAUAAAUUAUAAAAGAAUCAUUCUUAAAUUUUCAUCACUUUUUCUUAAAGUGUUAGAAUCGAUCUCACCUGAUUACAAAAUCCUACACCAAAACCUAGAAGUAGACGGCCAAUUAUCAGCAUCCAAAUGUUAACAGCUAAUCCAUUUAGUAAUGCACCAAUUAAGAAAAAUAAGCCACCAAGAAACAUGGAGGUCUUGCGUCCCCACAUUCUUGUGAUCGUGGCAGCAAAAAAAGAAGCUACCAAUGCUGCAAGGUAUAGGGAAGAUGUGAAUAGUGUUAGAAGUUGAUCAUCAAAUUUGCAAUAUUGACUUGUUUCAUGUGUUUCAUCUUUCAUUCUUUUAUACACNNNNNNAAGAAUUUGAUCAAAAAUUCAUCCAUCGAAGUCACUCCUCCGGUGAUACCAAGAUCGUAACCGAAAAGAAGACCUCCCAUUGCAGCUACAAAACAUGUAAUCAACACAAAUGCAGUUACUUUUCCCUCAUAUUGCUUUAUUCCUCUUGGAUCAACAAAGCUUCCACCUGCCAUAUUAAUUAAUUUUUUUUCUCCAAUAAACUACUACAAAUUAAGAAAUAAACACUACUACCACUUUGUUUAUUUUUUUCUCCUUGUUUCCUUUAUUGUCACUUAAUAAUGUAGUGAUG